CCCCUAGAUGUUCUGGGCCGCACGCGCGCUACACUGAACAGUUCAACAAGUCUUAACCUUGGCCGAUAGGUCUGGGUAAUCUUUGAACGCUGUUCGUGAUGGGGAUAGACCUUUGCAAUUAUGGGUCUUCAACGAGGAAUUCCUAGUAAACGCAAGUCAUCAGCUUGCAUUGAUUACGUCCCUGCCCUUUGUACACACCGCCCGUCGCACCUACCGAUUGAAUGGUCCGGUGAAAUCUCGGGACGGCGGCUUGGUCGCUUGCGUCCGACUGCUGAAACUUGAUUAAACCAUAUCAUUUAGAGGAAGGUGAAGUCGUAACA
rnacentral:rRNA from 1 species